rnacentral:lncRNA from 1 species
CGCUUCUCUGUUUUCGAUCUCGGGCAUGCUCUAAAUGGGUGGGUUAGCUAUCCUAGUUUGUAAACACUUUGUAUUCCGAUUGUGCGUAGCUACACCAGUUCGGCAAGUCCAUCUGCGUAAUUUUUUCUAGAUUUCGGAUGUCAUUUUUUGCUCGUAGACAUGCCUCGCCUUUAGCAGAUUGGAGGGCACUCAAAAGUUUAAGGAAUUCCACUAUAAUAUAAUAUAUAUAGAUGCACCCAAGAUAUAUAAUUUUCAGUCCUAUUUCUUGGGAUGACAUCUUAGAACUUGUUUUGUGGGCUCCGUCUUCGUCACUGCCGAGGAGCGCAUAAGCAUAUACGAAGAGUGCUCCUUCACAUUU